rnacentral:lncRNA from 1 species
UCGGGAUUCCUUCGCUCCCUUGUGGUCAAGAUCCAAAGGAUAAUUUGCAGUGUUCUGAGUAUCUAGAUAGAUGAUGAUGUGGUAGGGGCCCUGAGCACAAUUAUCGUCGAUCCUGAUAACUACCGGGGUGUGCUGUUAGGACAUUCUUCAGGCAAGAGGUCAACAUGAACGUAGCAAAGUCAGGCAUGAAAAACAAUGACGAUGGAAGUAAAGUGCAUCCUCCAGCCAGUCCAGAAGGAGCUUUACAACAACUUCACAGAGAGUACUUGACUGAGAAACCGAGAUGUCCCAGAAAAUAAGACCAACCUGCUCGCCUUUAAAGACACCAUUUUGCACAAUUUCACAAAAAUCUAAGUAUCUGUUGGGAAACAGCACCAUGAUAAAAAGGACAAACAGGAACCCCACACCUGACCACAAAACAAAAAUCUUGGUUUCCAACAUCACACAAUUGACUGACCCAUUUUUUUCCCCAGGGGCCAACAGCUGCAUGACUCACUGCUGUCUGUUUUGCCUGCCUCCGCAAUGAGUGGGCUGAUGUAAAUAGGAAGUGAUGAGGAAAAUCAAUUUGGGGCAAACACAUUUUUUCAAGGCUGUAACAGGAAGAGAUAGGAAGCCCAGGAAGAUACUUGAUAGAUAUUCAACUCUGUCGAAAGGAGGAAGUCGCAUGUUGAAGCACUCGGCUAGUUAUUUUGAGUUGUUGAACGGAAACGGGAUACAACAGAGAGAGAACACAGAUAGGAUGCAUUCUGUUGCAUAGCAACAUAGAGGGGAGAAGCCACUGUACAUAACGGAGACCAUCUGUCUGUAUGAAAGACGAGGAAAAACCGUUGUUGAAAACAAAGAAAAAGAACGAGAUGAAAAAAUAAGUUACAAAGAAUAUAUGAGGUUCCAUCUUCCUUUCAAAAAGCAUGUCUUGUGUUAACGUAAAAAAAUUCUUCUAUGAGUAUUUGAAUGUUAUUUAGAAGAGUUGAUUUUAACAUAUGAAAUGUGAUGCUUUGUACUACCCCCUGGACUUUGUACUACACUCCUUGUUUGGAUCAAGCACUCCCCUCAAAACUUUCCAGAAGGGCUUGGAGGGGGUCAGGUUGGUGCAGUGGGUAGGGUUUAUGAACUUUGGGAGACCCAAUUCAGCCCUAAAAGUCAGUGUCCAAUAAAAAUUAGUGGUGAGUGGAACCUCCCAGUUAUUUAUACCCCAAUGGAGCAAGACCCUACCUAGGAUGGGGGCUUUGCUGCAUUUCAGAUGGGGAAAGGGGGUGUCUGAUCAGAAGGGACCAGAGCACAGAGUCAAGGAGGCAGAAAAUGUAGGAUCGGGUUCCCAAGGAACAGACACAUGCAGUAUCUGCCUGUGAGUUCGCCCAGACUGAAGCAUGCCGGGGUCCCAGUCACUGGUAAUCCCUUCACCAAUAUCCCUGAAGGGUCCCCCAGGCAGGAGGGAGAAGCUGGGGCCGAGUACACUGGCUAAGACUGGCCAAAGCUUUUUGAUGUAGUACCCCAUCCCACAUAGGGACCUUCUGAAUUCUAUGUGGCUAAAACUUAGAGAAUUUCAGUAAAUCACAGGGUUUUUAAAAAAAAAAAAAAAUUAAUGGUCAAUUAGACAAAUCAAUGGGGUGGGGAUGAAAAUGCAUAGGGAAGUGAAUAUGUUCGGCACCAUCAAACAUAAACUCCUCUGGCCUGUGCUGUGAGUUCCCCCAGAGGACUUCCGGGAGAGUGGCCUCCAUCACAGACACCUGGCUGAACAGAGAGGUGAGGAGCCACACACAGCAGUAUUUCUUUCUUAGGAAGGCCCUAGUGCAAACAGGGAAAUGUGCAAAGUGGAUAAGUUCUUCCUUUGGGGACAGGAAGUGCUCUGCAGAAAUAAUGUCCUAUUUCCUGAUGCCAGAGCCUAUCAGCCCUCGGCUGGUUCUGCUUCUGUAGAAAUGUAAUAGCUUGCUUCCUUCCCUCUCCCAGUCAUCUGCCCCAAACUUGCCCCUUCUCAGCCCACAGAACUAUCACACCACUUGUCCAGAGACUGGGCCUCUGUUGCCAUCCUCUUACACUGGUUGGCAGCCUCACCCUUGCUCCUCUCCCACAGAGGAGCACAGCUAAAGGGACAAAAGGUCCAUGAACUCCCGCCAGUGGCACCACAGGCAUUAUUUCAGGGGAAAUCAUGGUCCCUUUCAAAAAAGAGAGGAUCUACGUCAUAAAAAAACUUGACUUUGGUGGUGCCCAAAGCAGAACCCCAUCCCCAGCAAUAUUCUACUUUGGAGGAGGUUUUUAUAUGGUAUCCUGGUGCAUAGAAAACCUCAAGGAAAAUAUCAAGGAAUUAAAAAGAGGAUGAGCCAAACCAACACUGACCUAGGCAAGGAUGAUGAGAGGCAGGAGUAAAUGUUUGUCUACUUCCCACUUUAUCUUUCCUUGGGUAAUGUUUUCAUUGUGCGAUGUUUUUGAAUACUAACUUCUUCAUAACCAAUAUGGUUACCAUGGACUCUGGAGUCAGAAUACUGGGUUCAGUUCCAGAUCUCCUCUCUACCAGGCUGAUGACCUUUGGUUUUCUCAUCUGUAAAAUGGGAAUCAUGACACCAAGUACUUCACGGAGUGGUGAGGAUACAGAAAAACAAUUCAUACGAAACACGCACGUAGUAAGCAAGUACGUACAUAGUAAGCUCUCGCUAAAUAUUAGCGAUGAGCAUUUGGCAAACCAAUGUUGGCGGAUAAAGUUAAGAACCUUAAAAGAUUUCAGUCCAUAUAACUGAAUCUAAGGUAGUGCAUAAUAUGUUUAGAUUUCUGCAAAAAAAAUAUGGAAAAUAAUUUUCCUCACUGAAAUAUCAGGAAAUCAAGACUACAUGUCUUGUGAAUUUUUUUGUGUAUCUAUUUAUAUUGAUUAGUAAGUGGGUAUACAUAUUGAAAAUUCAACUUCAAUUUUUGCCAUAUUUUUUCUUAAUCAAAACUUGAUUUAUUAUAAUGCAAGCAUUUCUCUCGAUGUGCAUGCUUACCCAGAAGAAACUGGAUGAAGCUUUCUUACAGUGUAUUAAAUUUUUAAGCAAUGGAAGAAUUUUCAAGUUUUAGUCCUGUGUUUCCUAAAUUUAAGUAAAUCAACAAUUUCUCAAACUCAUGUGCAGAGCCUCUUAUUUUUGCCCUAUAUUGUUCACGUUUAUAUAUUAUAAAACUCUCAUGAAACGGGAAAGGCAACUGAGAUAGAUUUACUCC